rnacentral:snRNA from 1 species
AUACUUACCUGGCAGGGGAGACACCUUGAUCACAAAGGAAGUUUUCCCAGGAUGAGGCUCAGCCAUUACACUCUGGCUGUGCUGACCCCAUGCUGGAGGUCUUCAAGGAGAGGCUGGGAUGGUUUAGUAAAUCCUGCACUGAGCAGGGAGUUGGACUCAAUGACCCUAG